rnacentral:snoRNA from 1 species
AUUCAAUGAUGAUACAAUGCUUUAUGAAUGCGCAACCAUGAUUACCACGCAUUUCAAACUUCCUUGGAUGGCUGAAUUU